rnacentral:rRNA from 1 species
AACUUGGUCAUUUAGAGGAAGUUAAAGUCGUAACAAGGUUUCCGUAGGUGAACCUGCGGAAGGAUCAUUAUCGUAUCUCCGAGGAGGCCGCCGGUCGUGCCUUUGCUCCAGCCGACAAGGCCGUGCAGCAGGCUGCCGCAGCCGACUCAACCCACAAACCCACGUGCUCCUUCCACGGCCGAGGGCGCCCAGCGCUCGAGGCCGCGUUCAAAAACACCAGUCGUCACGAAUGUCUAAGCGAAUGCAGAUUCGCCCACAAUUGAAACAACUUUCAACAACGGAUCUCUUGGCUCUCGCAUCGAUGAAGAACGCAGCGAAAUGCGAUAAGUAAUGUGAAUUGCAGAAUUCAGUGAAUCAUCGAAUCUUUGAACGCACCUUGCGCUCCUUGGUAUUCCGAGGAGCAUGCCUGUUUGAGUGUCUUGAAAUCAUCAACCCCCUCUGGUUUCUGAUCGGAGGCGGUGUUGGAGUUGGGGGCCUGCUGCCGUGAGGCGGCUCCCCUCGAAUGCGUCGGUUGGACCUGCGGGUCAGACUCGACUGGGCGUUGUACCAUCCUCGCUCGACCGAGACGUCCCCACCGAGCGUCCGACCACGACCUUUGCCUGUGGAGUGGCGGUCAAACUUCCUUUGCAAUCUGACCUCAAAUCAGGUAGGACUACCCGCUGAACUUAAGCAUAUCAAUAAGCGGAGGAAAAGAAACUAACAAGGAUUCCCCUAGUAAC